CAACCUAUACCCACUUUUUCCUUCAAGACCAGGGUUGUGGCUGCAGCGCUUAAUCCUGCAGAUUCUAAGAGGGCUCUUGGGGUUUUGAAGGACACUGACUCUCCCUUACCUAGUGUUCCGGGGUGCGAUGUUGCUGGUGUGGUGGUCAAAGUGGGAAGUGAAGUAAGCAAAUUCAAGGUUGGGGAUGAGGUUUAUGGUGAUAUCAAUGAGUAGUAUACUGUGAAUAAUCCAAAGACCAUUGGGACUUUGGCGGAGUAUACUACUGACUCACAAACCCUCCAAUUUGAGCUUCAUUGAAGCUGCUAGCCUUCCUUUAGCCAUCAUCACUGCUUAUCAAGGAUUUGAAAAAGUUGAGUUUUCUGCUGGCAAAUCUAUACUUGUUCUGGGGGGUACUGGUGGAGUUGAAUCCCUUGUUAUCCAGCUGAGAAAUUCAUUCGAUGGCAGCCUUAAAGAAAACUCCAUUGCUGUCAUGGAGACACAUUGUAGCUCCAAAGCACAAUUUGUCCUUGAAUAUGACUGCAUCCAAGUUGCAUUUGUAAAAACCUUGUGGAGGCUUUGACCAUCGUGAUUGAGUUGCUGAUUGCGGUUGAUGAGAGUUUGACUUACAAGACCUGGCCACGAGCCAUUCCUGCAAAUAUUUCAUUGAUAAAGACAUGGCAAUGUUAGGAGGUGUUUCAUCAUUCUCCCAUAUUAUUUGGUUUUGGCAUUUCCAAAUGGUCCAAAGAGUGAUUGCUAGUUGCGUUGUCUGCUGAGGUUGGAGCGUGUGGAGAAGAUAAAAAACUAGCUCUUUGAAACCAUCAACAUCAAUUAUGUUGCUUUCAAUAAUAUGCCAUAUACCUGAUGAAAGCCAAAACUCCUUAGCUUUUUUGCAUCCUAUGAAAAGAUGCCACUCCGAUUCUGCAUUCUGCACACAGUAACAGCUUUUUUUGAAUUGUCUGACUUUUUUAAUUUUAGCUUUCACUAAAGUCUUGGCCCAAUUUACUUUCAAGACAUGCUUGACUUAGUCAAACGUAAGCUAGGUCAUAAGUCCAUCCUCACCCCUACCUUGAACUAGGGAUAUUUGUGAGUUAAUUUGAUUUGAUUUUUCAUUAAAAUAAAAUUUA